CAGCAGCCGCGGUAAUACGGAGGAUCCAAGCGUUAUCCGGAAUCAUUGGGUUUAAAGGGUCCGUAGGCGGUUUUGUAAGUCAGUGGUGAAAGCCCAUCGCUCAACGGUGGAACGGCCAUUGAUACUGCAAGACUUGAAUUAUUAGGAAGUAACUAGAAUAUGUAGUGUAGCGGUGAAGUGCUUAGAUAUUACAUGGAAUACCAAUUGCGAAGGCAGGUUACUACUAAUAUAUUGACGCUGAUGGACGAAAGCGUGGGGAGCGAACAGGAUUAGAUACCCUGGUAGUCCACGCCGUAAACGAUGGAUACUAGCUGUUCGGAGCAAUCUGAGUGGCUAAGCGAAAGUGAUAAGUAUCCCACCUGGGGAGUACGUUCGCAAGAAUGAAACUCAAAUGAAUUGACGG
rnacentral:rRNA from 1 species